rnacentral:rRNA from 1 species
ACGCUGGCGGCGUGCCUAACACAUGCAAGUCGAACGGAGUUAAGUCUUCGGAUUUAACUUAGUGGCGAACGGGUGAGUAACGCGUGAGGAACCUGCCUUUCAGUGGGGGACAACAGUUGGAAACGACUGCUAAUACCGCAUAAUGUAGCGAGACCGCAUGAUCUUGCUACCAAAGCUUUAUGUGCUGAAAGAUGGCCUCGCGUCUGAUUAGAUAGUUGGUGAGGUAACGGCUCACCAAGUCGACGAUCAGUAGCCGGACUGAGAGGUUGAACGGCCACAUUGGGACUGAGACACGGCCCAGACUCCUACGGGAGGCAGCAGUGGGGGAUAUUGCACAAUGGAGGAAACUCUGAUGCAGCAACGCCGCGUGAGGGAAGAAGGAUUUCGGUUUGUAAACCUAAGUUAUCAGGGACGAUUAUGACGGUACCUGAAGAGAAAGCUCCGGCUAACUACGUG